rnacentral:rRNA from 1 species
GCAUGGUUUGAAGAGAAAAAGGUGGCCUCUUUACAAUGCUACCACUUACAGAUGAAUCCGCGUCCCAUUAGCCAGUUGGUGGGGUAAAGGCCUACCAAAGCGACGAUGGGUAGCCGGCCUGAGAGGGUGACCGGCCACACUGGAACUGAGAUACGGUCCAGACUCCUACGGGAGGCAGCAGUGGGGAAUCUUCCGCAAUGGGCGCAAGCCUGACCGAGCAACGCCGCGUGAGUGAUUAAGGCCUUCGGGUUGUAAAGCUCUGUUGUAAGGGAAGAACAUUCAGGAUAGGAAAUGAUCUUGAACUGACGGUACCUUACCAGAAAGCCACGGCUAACUACGUGCCAGCAGCCGCGGUAAUACGUAGGUGGCAAGCGUUAUCCGGAAUUAUUGGGCGUAAAGGGUGCGUAGGCGGUUUAUUAAGUCUAUGGUGAAAGUGCGGGGCUCAACCCCGUAUGGCCAUAGAAACUGAUAGACUUGAGUGCAGGAGAGGGCAAUGGAAUUCCAUGUGUAGCGGUAAAAUGCGUAGAUAUAUGGAGGAACACCAGUGGCGAAGGCGGCUUUCUGGACUGUAACUGACGCUGAGGCGCGAAAGCGUGGGGAGCAAACAGGAUUAGAUACCCUGGUAGUCCACGCCGUAAACGAUGAGUACUAGGUGUAGGGGAAACUCUGUGCUGUAGUUAACGCAAUAAGUACUCCGCCUGAGUAGUACGUACGCAAGUAUGAAACUCAAAGGAAUUGACGGGACCCCGCACAAGCGGUGGAUCAUGUUGUUUAAUUCGAUGAUACGCGAAGAACCUUACCAGGUCUUGACAUCCCAUGCAAAGCCCUGGAGACAGGGGAGGUUAUCCGGGAUACAGGUGGUGCAUGGUUGUCGUCAGCUCGUGUCGUGAGAUGUUGGGUUAAGUCCCGCAACGAGCGCAACCCUUGUCUUUAGUUACCAUCAUUCAGUUGGGGACUCUAGAGAGACUGCCGGUGAUAAACCGGAGGAAGGUGGGGAUGACGUCAAAUCAUCAUGCCCCUUAUGGCCUGGGCUACAAACGUAAUACAAUGGCGUAUACAAAGGGAUGCGAAAGGGCGACCUGGAGCAAAUCCCUCAAAGUACGUCUCAGUUCAGAUUGGAGUCUGCAACUCGACUCCAUGAAGGCGGAAUCGCUAGUAAUCGCGGAUCAGCAUGCCGCGGUGAAUACGUUCUCGGGCCUUGUACACACCGCCCGUCA